ensembl:lncRNA
GGCCCACAGGGUGCGGUCCCAGUGCAGGCAGCCACAGGCUGAGCCCUUCCAUAGCCCCACCCUCUCCAGAGGACGCUCCCCUCACCCCCUGCUAAGAUAAAGACAACCUGCUGCUAUCUUUUAAGAUCCCGUUUAAAACAAGCUGCUCUUCAGAUGCCCUCGAGAGCAAUUAAUUCUCUCUGCCUCGGCACUUCUACAGCACUCGUCGUCCUGCCAUCUCGAACCUCUCAUCCCAGGUAGAGAGGAAGAGCACUGGGCUUGUCCAGGCAGCCAAAGGCCAGUGCAUCUCCCCCUCCUCUGAGGACCACGGAGAAGUUCAAGCCUUCCUAAAAGGGGCCGCGACUGCACAGGAAACAGAACCAUUGUCCACACCCGAACACAAUGAGCCUGUGGAUGAACGGAUGUCCAGGCAGAGGGAUAUGAAUGCCUGCCUCACCUCGCACUGGAGUCAAGAGAAAAGUGAGGGAAGAUGGCCCUCCGAGAGCUCCUCCUAGCAGAUUUUCCUGGGAUUACCCUCCCAAAAAGCUCUUCACAACUGAAGUCUUUCUUUGGGGCCUCCUUCUGGGAAAAUUCAAAUGAAGACACUGGAGAAGAGAUAAGAAAGACGGCUGCCAUAUUGUGAAGCAGCCUUGGGGAGAGGUCCAAGUGGUGAAGAAUGGAGGCUUGCAAGAAACCCCAUCAAUGCACUUGGAAGCAGAUCUUCUGAGACCUGCCAGCCACCAAGUGAGUGAGCUUGCAAGCAGCUCCUUCCCCAUUCAGGCCUUGAGACAUCUGCAUCCCCAGCCAACACUUUGACCGCCACAUCCCAAAAGAUGCUGAGCUCACCAGGCUAAGCAGCACCUAGAUACCUUACUUGCUAGAGAAUACUGCUCAGCUACAAAAGGAAUAAACUAUUGAUACAUGCAAUAACACGGAUGAAAUCUCAAAAGCAUUAUGCUAAGUGAGAGCUGUCAGACACUGGAGAAUACAGAAGAACCGAGGGCACUAGAAGAAAGCAGCCAGUGGGUUACGUGACCAACAGGGACGCUCUCAGCAGCCGUGGAAGCAGAG